GACGAACGCUGGCGGCGUGCUUAACACAUGCAAGUCGAAGGGAAAGGCCCUGCUUGUGUGGGGCGCUCGAGGGGCGAACGGGUGAGUAACACGAGAGUAACCUGCCCUUGACUUUGGGAUAACUUCAGGAAACCGGGGCUAAUACCGGAUAGGAGCUCCUGCUGCAUGGUGGGGGUUGGAAAGAUUCGGCGGUUGGGGAUGGACUCGCGGCUUAUCAGCUUGUGGGUGGGGUAGUGGCUUACCAAGGCUUUGACGGGUAGCCGGCCUGAGAGGGUGACCGGCCACAUUGGGACUGAGCUACGGCCCAGACUCCUACGGGAGGCAGCAGUGUGGAAUAUUGCACGAUGGGCGGAAGCCUGAUGCAGCAACGCCGCGUGCGGGAUGACGGCCUUCGGGUUGUAAACCGCUUUCUCCUGUGACGAAGCGUGAGUGACGGUAAUGGGUAAAGAAGCACCGGCUAACUACGUG
rnacentral:rRNA from 1 species